rnacentral:rRNA from 1 species
AGAGACAGCAGUCGCCGCGGGAAUACGGAGGGUGCAAGCGUUAAUCGGAAUUACUGGGCGUAAAGCGCACGCAGGCGGUCUGACAAGUCAGAUGUGAAAUCCCCGGGCUUAACCUGGGAACUGCAUUUGAAACUGUCAGGCUGGAGUCUUGUAGAGGGGGGUGGAAUUCCAGGUGUAGCGGUGAAAUGCGUAGAGAUCUGGAGGAAUACCGGUGGCGAAGGCGGCCCCCUGGACAAAGACUGACGCUCAGGUGCGAAAGCGUGGGGAGCAAACAGGAUUAGAUACCCGGGUAGUCCCUGUCUCUUAUAC